rnacentral:miRNA from 1 species
UUGCUUAUACAUUCUCCUUCC